GGGGGAAUAUUGCACAAUGGGGGAAACCCUUAUGCAGCGACGCCGCGUGAACGAAGAAGGUAUUCGUAUCGUAAAGUUCUGUCCUAUGGGAAGAUAAUUACAGUACCAUAGAAGAAAGCUCCGGCUUAAUACGUGCCAGCAGCCGCGGUAAUACGUAUGGAGCGAGCGUUGUCCGGCAUUAUUGGGCGUAAAGGGUACGCAGGCGGUUUAAUAAGUCGAAUGUUAAAGAUCGGGGCUCAACCCCGUAAAGCAUUGGAAACUGAUAAACUUGAGUAGUGGAGAGGAAAGUGGAAUUCCUAGUGUAGUGGUGAAAUACGUAGAUAUUAGGAGGAAUACCAGUAGCGAAGGCGACUUUCUGGACACAAACUGACGCUGAGGUACGAAAGCGUGGGGAGCAAACAGG
rnacentral:rRNA from 1 species